rnacentral:pre_miRNA from 1 species
AGUGGAAUUGCUGGGUCAUAUGGUAGUUCCAGUUUUAGUGUUUGAGAAACUGCCACACUUUUCCACAAUGGCUGUACCAUUUUGCAUUCCCACCAGCAAU